UACGUAGGUGGCAAGCGUUGUCCGGAAUUAUUGGGCGUAAAGCGCGCGCAGGCGGUUUCUUAAGUCUGAUGUGAAAGCCCCCGGCUCAACCGGGGAGGGUCAUUGGAAACUGGGAAACUUGAGUGCAGAAGAGGAAAGUGGAAUUCCCGGUGUAGCGGUGAAAUGCGCAGAUAUCGGGAAGAACACCCGUGGCGAAGGCGGCUCUCUGGGACGGUACUGACGCUGAGACGCGAAAGCGUGGGGAGCGAACAGG
rnacentral:rRNA from 1 species